GGUAUCUUUUGGAUAGGGUUACAAAUUUAGAGGGUGAUUGGAUGAAUAAUAACUAGCUACGUUGGGGAUGGCCUUUGAUUAUGCUUGGUCGUGGCAAUUUCGAUCCAUUUAUGCUUGGGCAAAGCCUGGGAGAUCACUAUGCUUGAGUUCAUACAGUGCGAUCUCCCAGGUUUGUUUAUCUGCAUUUGCUUUUGUUUCGGUCUUGGCUUGCUUCCUCAGCUAGUUCUUGUUCGGAUUUUUAGUUUCUAACUGUAAUUUGUCUAUAAUUCAGUAGUUCUCAGUCUUUCUUUCUUCUCCUUAGCUUUAUAAUCUUUUGUAAAACUCAAAAACUGGUAUAAAAUGUAACAUUUAGACCCAAAAAAAAACUAGUUAGAGUUGAUUAUAUGUAUAAAAAUCGGCUAUAGAAUUUCAAAAUUAUUGUAAAACCGUUUUUAGAAUAAGUAAUUAAAAAUUAAACCGGAAACAACCCUAAUUUAUAAACCGUUUGUGUGACCGCAAGUGGUUAUUGAUGAUAUUUGAUCGACCAUCACUCAACCCUUGAUUUGCCGUGAGAGAGUAAUGUAUUUGAAAGAGUAAUGUAUUUAUAUGAAAUGUAGUUGGGACUAACUUGUAAAUAUAGUUUUCGUGAACUAAGCUAAUGUUCUUAAUUGUGUCAUUGAAAAUGAUGUAGGGUAUACGUGAACCUUGGGAAUUAAGGUUGAACCAUCUUAUGAUGCAAUUUAAAAUUCAUGUUUCUUGCACAAGUAAAGGUGAUGAACAUAAUGUAUUAAUGCUGAAUUAGCUAAGAAUCGGGUUUUGGGUCAUAGUCCCAAUGGACUACGUUGCGUAAUCUCCGAUGUCCUUUGUUGUUCUAAGUGAAGCAUACGAAGAUAAUGAAAGACGGGAUUGCAGCUUAGGUCCAUCGACAGUAAUCAGUGUAGCUUUUGUGAAUGCUUAUUGAUCGUUAAAGGCUUGUGCUUAUUGUGUGAUGAUUGCUCAGUAUUGUCAACUGUGUAUUAUAAUGUUGGGGAAUUAAAUUAUGUAAACUA
rnacentral:lncRNA from 1 species